UCUUUCAUCGCUGUUAAAGUUACAAUGGCCAUUUUGGGCUCCUUUUGAGCUUUGCAACCGAGAAACAAAGAAAUCUUUCAAGAGUCAAAGGCUCCACCCCUGGGAGCCCCCUGACUCUGGUUUUCAGGCCUGAUCACCCUGGCGACCCCAAGUGGGGUGCCCUCUCUUGACGGUUGACUCAUUGAGUAUUUUAGGCACCUACUGAGUUGAUUAAGAGGAUAGGAGACCUGUGAUUUAUUCUGUGAACUGUCCUGCCAGUGUUGUGUGUCCCGGCAGGUACUGUCGUGUGACCCUUAAUUUGAUAACCCUAGGGAAGAGGCCAUGAGGGCAAGGCCUGAUCUCUUCUUUUCCUUUCUUUGUCUGUCUCAUUCAUCACCUCCUCUGUUGUCACCAAGUCAAGGUUAAGUUCAGGCUGGACCUAAGCAGAACAUGGACCUUCUGUAAGAUUGAAAACUUCAAAACCUUUUUGCCAGGGACUUAACUCACAAUCCCAGUGCUGGGAGCCCCAGCCCCCCACCCACUCCAGGCCUUUGCCUCCUGCUUCCCUGGCUUGUAUUGUGCUGGCUCAGGGACUAAGUGCCCCAGCUGAGUGGCACUUGACUAAAUCUUAUAACCAUAUUGAUGCCCACAGUCAGGCCCUGUACCCUUUCUCCAGCCGCUGUCAGUCAGACACUGGCUUUACCACCAUGGUGAACUCCACAAGCAUCCCCGGAGACUCACCCUUGGGUGCAUUUUAACUAAUUGGAAACACUUUCAAUUGGAUGGGUUAUGCCCCAGAAACUCCAUCUUGGAGAAAACUUGAGGGGUUUCUCUGUGCCUUUGUGAUGUAGUUGGACAGGUAGCUCAACCUAUAAUGUCAUUUGAGUCACAACCCAGUUUCUGAGAAACCAAGAGCAACUGUCCUUGGAAAUCCUUCUAAGGCUGGAAAAAGCAGCUCUAGAGUUGGUUCAGGUUCCACCCAUUUCCCUUAUCUCAAAGAGCUUGCAAAUCCUCUAGGGACAAUGGAGCUCAUCACUAAUUCCCAAGACUGAGGGAAAAAAAAAAGGGAAAAAGGAAAAAACGGCCAUAAGCAUGCCUUUGCCAAAAAAAUCUAUCAUCUUAAAUGUCUUCUCCACAAAUAUUAGCAAAAAGGCUCAAAACAAAAUUUGGAUUCAUAGCUGAUUUAAGGAAAUCUUUUUCUCGUUUCUCUUAUGCUAAUGAUGACUUAUGGCAAUUUGGUGAAAUUAUACCUUUGUGAGCAGAACUGAAACACUUAUCUUUUUCUCCCUACCUGAUCUCUCCAGAAUUUGGAAACUCAGUGAGUGAGAAUUGAAAGUAUCAUCUGGCACAUGGAAGCCCUAAACAAGUUUACCAUGAAGACAUUAAACGAUACACAACAUAGCCUUUCGCUGCUCGAUUUAGAAAUAUCCCAAAUGCAUAAGGCGGUCCUCCAAAAUCAAAUGGCAUUGAUGUCUUGACAGCAGCACAGGAGGGCACUUGUGCCAUUAUAAAAACCCAAUGCUGUGUCUAUGUUCCUGACUACCAUCAAAAUAUCUCUGUAUUCCUAUCUGAUAUGAGCCACCAAAUUAAAUCUGUGUCUUACCCCAUCCCUGAGUGAUUGGUUGGACUCCUGGUCAUUUUGGACUCUGGACUACUAUCAAAGCCUUAUUCAUUGGGGUAAUCAUAUUGCUUGCAUUUCUUAUUAUUAUUUGUUGUCUAUCUCAUUGUUUGUCUUCCACAUGUCAACAAAGUUUCGCCUUCUGGACCACUUCUCGUCAAAUGAUUCUCUCACCUUCAGAUGAUCUGUAUACCUUGUCUGCCUUGGACUCUGCAGGUGCAACCUUCCAGUCCAUUGGACUUCCUGCUUGAACCCCUAUGGCCCCAUUUAGGGACAGCUCUAUGACCUUGUACAGCCAGAAGUAGUUACAGAAGAUUGACCAUCUUCCAUAUCCCCAAAGGAUUUCCGGGCCAAAUGGGUUCAGGGGGUGUUUUAUGAUGAGGCUCAAGGCUGCCCCAGGGAGAGAAGCCCAAGGCAUCCUGCCCUACACACCGAUCAUCCUCUUGGAAGCAUAGGAUGUCCUGACCUGAUUCGACCUGAUUUGUAUCCAAAGUUUUAGGACCACCCAAUAACCAGACUCCACCUGCACUGAUACCAUUUUAAUGACUUUUUUACAUAGUCUUUCCUUUGUCUUGUAAAGAAAUAACUCACAUACCUAUGCCUUAUAAACUUAGCCCUGCCCUCAACUCAUUGCAGCUCUUCACUGCCCAUGGGCCUUGUCCCCGUGCUGCAGCUUUUUACUGUCCAUGGGUCUUGUCCUCACCCUACUCCAUGCUAUUCUCUGAAUAAAGCAACACUACUACCAGACCUUGAGAGUCCAAGAAAUCUUUCUUUUGACUCCUCAGCUCACCAAGCCUGUGUCACAGUCACUCCUUCCCAUUGAAGAUCGGGGAAGGUGAAGGACAGGGAGAUGGGCGGACACUGACCUCAGGCUCAACUUCACCCACAUAUAUUGAGCACCUACUCUGUGCCAGGCCUGUACCGGGCAGUGGGGAGAAGAGAUAAAUUAGGUAUAAUGCCCUCCCUGUAAGGGCUGAGGAAUACACUCUUAGGUCUCUGGGAUGUCAACCCUUUAGACAAACUGGGUGCCAUUUACAGGUCUCAGCAGAGGGUGAUACUUGAGACCCCACCUCCCUCUGUGAGCAGAAGUCCAUGUGGUCUGCCCCUCCAUGGAUGGCCCUAGCCAUCAUGGGACUCUGCUGAGGCCCUGUGGUGAAUAUCAGGUCAGGGGACUCAGUCCAACUUCUGCUCUUGUACACAAGCCACAGAGACAGUUUUUGAGGUGCAGAUGGUGCCUCCACACCUGUGCACCUCUUCCACAGACAGUGCUUCUCUAGGGGCCCAGGGCAAGCCAGCAGAGGCCAACACCUGGAGACGUGGCAUUGGACCUGCGGGCAGGAGCAGGCGGGAUGGGACCUCUUACCCACCCACCCACAUUUGUAAUCGAAGAAGAAUUUCUGGAUUAUAAGUGGGGCUGGGUGGGGGAGGCCUGAGGACAGCUGGCUUUGCCCUUUUGUGAUCAGCUUUUGAGGUUCACACAUGGCCACUUCCCAGGGGUGCAGCUCGCCCUGGGAGGCUGGUCUAGCAUUGAGGCUCGUGUGUCCACUCACGACCAGAACCUGAGCAUUCUCUUUCUGUUUCCACUAGUGCUGGACCCAGUCCUACCUUCACUGACGUUUGAUUUCCAGGACCUCUUUGACCUUCCCCUGCCUCGGUCUGGGCACCUUAGGUCACCUGGACAAGCCUCCCAAACUUCCAAUCUCCCCGAGGGCUGGGGUUGGCCUUCCCUUCCUACUCAGAGGGCGUACGGGCUCCAUAUGCAAACCGUCUGCUCUAUCACUAGAGUUCUCUGGGGGACGGGUGGCCCUGCUGAGCCCUCUAAAACUGUGCUACACUCUUUCCCAAGGCAAAGGGCUGGCCUUAUGUUCUCCGUCUGAGGGAGCCCACUCUAGUGCUUCUCGGAGAAUGGAGAUCUGGCUCCCCCAUCUCUGCCGACCCAGAGAAGCAGCUGAAACUUCUCUCACCGAGGACGAAGUGAGCUCUGACUCCCCAGUCCCCUGUGGAAUCGAGCCUGGACGUUCAUGCUGUGACAGGGGUAGCAGGAGGCUCUGCUGGGAAGGCAUCCCAGAGGAGGGCACGUCUGAGCCCAGUUAUGAGCUUCAGAAGGACAUUCUAGGCAGAGAGAAUAGCCUGAGCUUAGACCAGAGACUAAAUCAACUGGUUGAGUUCCAGGAGCUGUGGUUGGCUUUAGGGGGAAAUGGGUGUGUGUGUGUGUGCAUGAGUCAGACCAGAGCCAGAUCUUAUGGGGCUUCUCACAGCCGGGGCAACUCACCGAGGACAAGGUGUCUUCUGAGAGAAGUUUAUUCUGUUUUUUGACAUGGGCUAUUGACAAGUAUAACAGAAA